ensembl:lncRNA
GUGAAACCUUGACGGUGGGGUGGUUGGGUGACUCAGCUCUCCUCUCACAAUGAAAACUGUCUGAAAGAGAUGCUGGCUCAAAGAACGGAUUCACUUCAGCACACAAGGAGAGUGAGCCCAGGGCUUGCCCUCCUGCUGUUUCCUCUAAGACUGAGAACACAUAAUCUACCCACUGCAGCAAAACAGAAUGAAGAAAAAGGGAGACGAAAGGGCAUGGAAGAGGAAGAGAGAGAGUUCAGGAGUAAAAGAUCAAUUGAAGAGACAUGAGCUGAAGCAUCGGCCUCCCAUCGGGAUCACAACGGCAAACUCUCUGAGAGUGGUGUUGGCGGCAUGCUGAGGGAUCGAUAUAAACUCGCACGUGUA